rnacentral:misc_RNA from 1 species
AAAUUUAGGGUUUUGAAAGUUUUAAAAACCUCUAAAAACUCUGAAAAACCUUAUUCUCCCUCCAAAAUAAGUUUAUAUGUCUUAAUUAUAUUAAAAAACUUUACAAUACUUCCAAAAACUUGCUCCAAACGAAACGUAAUUGGUUAACACUAAAUAAUAGUAAUAAUAAGUGAAUAAUAAAAAAUGGGAAAUUAAAUCAUGGUCUGAUUGAACUGAUGCAAGCCUUUAUAAUAAAGCCCAUAAACUGCCCGGUGAGGCACCGCAGUCCCUAGCCUGGGUCAAAAAAGGCCUUAAUUUUUUCAGAAGGUAA